rnacentral:rRNA from 1 species
AGCCACCGCGGUAAUUCCAGCUCCAAUAGCGUAUAUUAAAGUUGUUGCAGUUAAAAAGCUCGUAGUUGAAUUUCGGGGUUAGUAGGUUGGUCAUGCCUCUGGUAUGUACUGGUCUCACUGAUUCCUCCUUCCUGAUGAGCCGUAAUGCCAUUAAUUUGGUGUUGCGGGGAAUUUGGACUGUUACUUUGAAAAAAUUAGAGUGUUUAAAGCAAGCUAACGCUUGAAUACAUUAGCAUGGAAUAAUGAAAUAGGACGUUCGAUCCUAUUUUGUUGGUUUCUAGGAUUGACGUAAUGAUUAAUAGGGAUAGUUGGGGGCAUUAGUAUUCAAUUGUCAGAGGUGAAAUUCUUGGAUUUAUUGAAGACUAACUACUGCGAAAGCAUUUGCCAAGGAUGUUUUCAUUAAUCAAGAACGAAAGUUAGGGGAUCGAAGACGAUCAGAUACCGUACGUAGUCUUAACCAUAAACUAUGCCGACUAGGGAUCGGAUGAUGUUAAUUUUUUAAUGACUCA